rnacentral:rRNA from 1 species
UACGGGGGGGGCAAGCGUUGUUCGGAAUUACUGGGCGUAAAGGGCGCGUAGGCGGUUGGAUAAGUCAGCUGUGAAAACCACGGGCUUAACUCGUGGCCUGCAGUUGAGACUGUCUGGCUUGAGUGUGGGAGAGGAGAGUGGAAUUCCUGGUGUAGCGGUGAAAUGCGUAGAUAUCGUAAGGAAGACCAGUGGCGAAGGCGAGUCUCUGGACAGCAACUGACGCUGAGGCACGAAGGCCAGGGGAGCAAACGGG